rnacentral:rRNA from 1 species
AUUGAACGCUGGCGGCAUGCCUUACACAUGCAAGUCGAACGGUAACAGGUCUUCGGGUGCUGACGAGUGGCGAACGGGUGAGUAAUACAUCGGAACGUGCCCGAUCGUGGGGGAUAACGAAGCGAAAGCUUUGCUAAUACCGCAUACGAUCUACGGAUGAAAGCAGGGGACCGCAAGGCCUUGCGCGAACGGAGCGGCCGAUGGCAGAUUAGGUAGUUGGUGGGAUAAAGGCUUACCAAGCCGACGAUCUGUAGCUGGUCUGAGAGGACGACCAGCCACACUGGGACUGGGACACGGCCCAGACUCCUACGGGAGGCAGCAGUGGGGAAUUUUGGACAAUGGGCGAAAGCCUGAUCCAGCCAUGCCGCGUGCAGGAUGAAGGCCUUCGGGUUGUAAACUGCUUUUGUACGGAACGAAAAGACUCUGGUUAAUACCUGGGGUCCAUGACGGUACCGUAAGAAUAAGCACCGGCUAACUACGUGCCAGCAGCCGCCGUAA